rnacentral:rRNA from 1 species
CUACGGGGGGCAGCAGUGGGGAAUAUUGGACAAUGGGGGAAACCCUGAUCCAGCAAUGCCGCGUGUGUGAAGAAGGCCUGCGGGUUGUAAAGCACUUUCGGUUGGGAGGACUGCUUCUAGCACUAAUAUUGUUGGAAGUUGACGUUACCUUCAGAAGAAGCACCGGCUAACUCCGUGCCAGCAGCCGCGGUAAUACGGAGGGUGCAAGCGUUAAUCGGAAUUACCGGGCGUAAAGCGCGCGUAGGCGGCUAGAUCAGUCGGGUGUGAAAGCCCCGGGCUUAACCUGGGAACUGCAUCCGAUACUGUCUAGCUUGAGUACAGGAGAGGAGAGUGGAAUUCCACAUGUAGCGGUGAAAUGCGUAGAUAUGUGGAGGAACACCAAUGGCGAAGGCAGCUCUCUGGCCUGAUACUGACGCUGAGGUGCGAAAGCGUGGGGAGCAAACAGGGUUAGAUACCCUAGUAGUC